rnacentral:rRNA from 1 species
CCAGUGAUAGAGCAAGGCGAGCUAGCGGGCGACAAACACGGCAUUGAACCGUCGUCUGACCACGGCAACACGGAGAAUCAAACCGAACAACCCGACUCCGUCGAAGAUAACAGUCCAGAUAACAUCACACCGGACAGGCACCCGGAGCAACAGAAUACCCAUAAAAGGCUUGUUGCCACUGCGAGGAGUCUCAAAAAGCAGAAGCAAAGGCUCAGGACUGCACAAGACACACUCAGAAUCAGAUGGAGUGAAGUACUCAACACUGCAGCGAAGUACGGCGGUAAUUGCCAUACCAAGAGCUACCCGAAGCGAAAGCUGCUACCUGAAUUCGAUGAGGCCUUAGAUCCCCCGCAAUCAAAAAACAAAACGGCCACCCGGUCGGAUAGACGUCCUCGUGGCCAACAUAGAGCGGCAAACGACGCC